GCGCCCAUAGUUCAAUGGAUAGAACGUAGCUUUGCGGAAGCUAUAAUGUAGGUUCGAUUCCUACUGGGCGCACCA
rnacentral:tRNA from 1 species